UACAGAGGUCCCAAGCGUUGUUCGGAUUCACUGGGCGUAAAGGGUGCGUAGGUGGCGAGGUAAGUCGGAUGUGAAAGCUCGGAGCUCAACUCCGAAAUGGCAUUGGAAACUACCUUGCUCGAGGGUUGGAGGGGGGACUGGAAUUCUCGGUGUAGCAGUGAAAUGCGUAGAUAUCGAGAGGAACACCAGCGGCGAAGGCGGCGUCCUGGACUGGUACUGACGCUCAGGAGCGAAAGCGUGGGGAGCGAUCCGG
rnacentral:rRNA from 1 species